rnacentral:lncRNA from 1 species
UUCUUCUCUGGCAACCGUUCUUCUUCCGUUGUUUUUCUGUGUAUUCUUAGGGAUUUAUAAAUCCCUUUUAUUACCUUCAAGUGAACCAAGCCCAUUAAAAUCUUUUUUUUUCCUUUUUCUUUUUAUUUCAAUAAUAAUAAUAAUAGUAAAAUUGGUGGGUUCCACUUGAGGAGUGAGCCCACCCAACACUUCUGAAUAUUACAAUAUGAGAAAUUCUAUAUUGCAAUAUACUUUAACAUCGACAACCAUAAUAAGCUCAAAUUUAGGUCCAUCAAUUCUCAUUUACUCAAAUCUGGAUCAAUCAAUUCUCAUGCAUGUCAAAAAGUUUUAUCAUAUGAAUACAAAAUUUAUAUAAUAGUUGAUUUUAGGAUCAUCGCCACCUAGAAGCUCACAUUUUGGUAUAUCAAUUCUCUUGUGGUAAUAUGAGUUUUACGAUAUAACUACAAAAUUCAUAUUGCAUAUAUUUUAGAGUCAUAAACUACAAGUUCACAUUUGAAUCCAUCGAUUCUCAUGUAUAAACAUUACAGUCUCAUGUAUAAACAUUACAAUCUUUUAUUAUAAAUAAAAAAAUUCGACUCAAAGCUCUAUUUGAAAUUCUCGUGUCAUCAUUUGAAUUUUACAAUAUAAAUACAAUAACAGAUUAUAGGAUCAUCAACAAUAAGCUCAAAUUUAAGUUCAUCAAUUUGCAUAUAAAUCAUCCCAAUUUCACAAUAUCAAAACAAAGUUUAUAUUAAAUAGAUGUUAGGGUCAUCAACAAGAAAGUUGCAUCUAGAUUUAUCCAUUCUCAUGUAGUUUUAUAAUAAGAAUACAAAAUCAACUUCAAGCUCAAUUUGAAUCCAUUUUUCAUGUAUGUCAUCAUUCCAGUUUUACUGUAUGGAUACUCAUACCAAUUUACAUUGGAUCAUCAACCAUAAGUUCACAUGUGGGUCCAUCAAUUCUCACGAGUAUUACAAUAUAAAUAUAAAAUUCACAUUAAAAUUUAUUUUUGGAUCAUCAAAACCUAGUGCAUUCAUUCUACCAAAGCCAUCCAAUUACUGUUACAAUUGUACUGGCUAUUGGUUUACAGUAGUCAAAUGAUAUGCCUUCAAAAAAACAACCAAAAAUAUUAGCACCAUUUAUUUAUCCUUAAAUUUUCUCCUUAACUCUCCAAAACCAAAUUACCAUGCCGACAACAACGAAAAUGCAGCAUCCCAUUACCACCCUACGACUUUAGAGUCAUAAUUGAAAAGCUCACAUUUUGAUCUAUCAAACUUCAGGUGUACCAUUCGAGUUUUCCAAUAUUAAUAUAAUUUUUGUAAUGCAAUUAAUUUUUGGGUCAUCAACUUCAAGCUUGUUCACCAAUUCACAUGUAGAUCAUGAGUUUUACAAUAUGAAUACAAAUUUACUUAUGGGUAUUCAACCAUAAGCUCCCUUUCAAAUUGCAAUUCGCUUGUAUACCAUUCAAAUUUCACAAUAUGAAUACAAAAAUCAUAUUAAAAUUGAUUUUAUGAUUAUCAUCUAGAAGCUCACAUUGUCAAUCAAUUCUCAUGUAUACCAUAUGAACUUUCCAAUAUGAAUACAAAAUUCAUAUUGCAAUUUUUUUUUAUGACCAUCACAUUUGGGUCCACCAACUCUUGUCUUAUUUAUGUCAUCAUUGGAGUUUUACAAUAUCAAUGCGAAGUUCAUAUAGCAGUUCACCUUAGGGGCUUCAACCAUAAUCUCACAUUUAUGUCCAUCAAUUAUAUGUAUAUCAUUUGAGUUUCAUAAUAUAAAUGUAUAAAACCUCAAAAGUCAUCAACUGAUAACUCACAUUUGAAUCAAUCAAUUCUCAUGUAUAUCAUUGAAUUUCAUAAUAUGAAUAUGAAAUUUAUAUUGAAAUUGAUUUAAGGGUCAUCAUCUAGAAAGUGCAAUUCUCUUGUAUACCAUAUGAGUAUUACAAUAUGAAUACAAAAUUCAUAUAGCAAUUUAUUUUAGGCACAUCAACUUAAAACUCACAUUUGGGUUCAUCAAUGCUCAUAUGUAUCAUCAUACGAGUUUUACAAUAUGAAUAAGAAUUUCAUGUAGUAAUUUACUUUAGGGUCAUCAACUAUAAAUUCACAUUUGGUUCCAUCAAUUCUCAGCUCACAUUUGGGUCACUUUGCAUGUAGACCACCCGAAUUUCACAAUAUGAAUAUGAAAUUCAUAUUGAAAUUGAUUUUGAGGUCAUCAUCUAGCACAUGCAAUUUUCUUAUAUACCAUCUAAGUUUUACAAUAUGAAUACAAAAUUCAUAUGGCAAUUAAUUUUUGAGACAUCAAGUUACUCACAUUUGGUUCCAUCAAUUCUUAUGCCAAUCAUCCGAGUUUUCACAAUAUAAAUAUAAAAUUCAUAUUAGGAUCACCAACUAAUAGCUCACAUUAGGUCACUUCGCAUGUAUACCAUCCAAAUUUCACUAUGAAUAUGAAGUUGAUUUAAGGGUCGUCAUCUAGAAGGUGCAAUUAUCUUGCAUACAAUCUGAGUUUUACAAUAUGAAUAUAAAAUUCAUAUUGCAGUUUAUUUUUUAGGGACAUCAACUUCAAGAAUGCAUUGGGCUCUAUCAAUUCUCAUAUAUAUCAUCAUUCGAGUUUUUACAAUAUGAAUAAGAAUUUCAUGAUGUAAUUUAAUUUAGGGCCAUCAACUAUAAGCUCAAAUUUGAUUUCAUCAAUUCUCAUGUACAUCAUAUGUGUUUCACAAUAUAAAUAUAAAAUUUAUAUUAGGGUCAACAACUCAACUCACAUUUGGGUCAUUUUGCAUGUAUACCACCAAAUUUCACAAUAUGAAUAUGAAUUUCAUAUUGAAAUUAAUUUAUGGGUCAUCAUCUAGAAGGGACAAUUCACUUGUAUACCAUCCAAGUUUUACGAUAUGAAUAGAAAAUUCAAAUUGCAAUUUAUUUUAGGGAUCAAGCUUGCAUUCGAGUCCGUCAAUUCUUAUGUAUAUCCUCAGAGAUUUACCGUAUGAAUAAAAACUUUCAUAAUGCAAUCUACUUCAUGGUCAUCAACCAUAAACUCACAUUUUGGUCCGUCAAUUCUCAUACACAUUCAUUGAGUUUCACAAUAUAAAUACAAGAUUUAUAUUGCAAUAGAUUAUAGGGACAUUAAAUCAAAGCUCACAUUUGGGUCUGGCAAUUCUCAUGUAUCACAUUAGUAUAUGAUGUUUAUCAUUUCCUCCCAAUUUCAUGAUAUGGGCAAAAAAUCAUAUCAUCAAAAUUUGAAUCAUGGGAUCAUUAGUGUCUCCUAGUUUUAUGACAUGGGCAAAAAAUCAUGUCAUCAAAAUUAGAAUAAUAGGAUCAUUACUUUCCCCUGGUUUUAUGAUACGGGCAAAAAAUUGUAGUGAUGGCAUUAUAGACCUUCAAACCUUACUUUUAUAUUAGAAAUUAAAACUCAUGACAAACCUUCAUUUAUUAGCAUCAUAAUUUCUUAGGCAUACCUUCCAAUUUACAAUAUGAAUUAAGAAUUAUAUAAAGCUAAGCACCAAAGAAAGUGUUCAUAUAACAUGUCCCAAUUUGAGCAAAGAAUUAAUUGGUUUUCAAAUUCAUUGAGAUUGAAACUUUGUGCAACCAAUUUCAUAUGGUGAAAACAUAAUUCAUAUAUAUGUUUCUUUUGUGCCCAAACAAUCAAGAUUAUAAAUUCUUAUUCUUAAUAUUGUAAAAAAAAUAACAAGUUAAUGUACUAACGAAAUAACUGUGUCAAAAGAUUCAAGCCAAACGGGGUUUUGGACACUGUGCAAUGAAAGACAGAUUUAACGAAAACCUGAAGAAAUCGAGGUCGAAUCAAGAAGCCAAAAAAAUUCCAGCAACACUUUUCGACAUAUUAGGGUUAGAAUCCGAAACCUCCGAAUUAGGGCUCUGAUAUGUCGGCGUUUAUCGAAGCAAGCUGAGGCGGCAGAAAAUUGAUACCUCUGUGAUUGAAAUCUUGCGAUAACAAUUCAGUUUUUCAAAUAUUGAAUCAAAUUUUUAGGACGCCGAUGAUCAAGAUUCUUGGAAAUCGAAUGUGAUUUCCCAUUUUCACACAUCUCUCGUUAUCUUAAAACCCUAAUUCCUAAAACAGAAAGAACAGUGGUGGCCGUGAAAUGGUAUUGUAUUAUUUAUUUAUAGAGAUUUAAUAAAAUAAAGUUGGAUGUUUCAAUACCAAAAACGCG